rnacentral:rRNA from 1 species
GCGGGAAUUCGAUUAGUUUGAUCCUGGCUCAGGACGAACGCUGGCGGCGUGCUUAACACAUGCAAGUCGAACGAGGUCUUCGGACCUAGUGGCGAACGGGUGAGUAACACGUGAGGAACGUGCCCCAGAGACCGGGAUAAGCCGAGGAAACUUGGUCUAAUACCGGAUGUCCCCACCGGAUCGCAUGGUCUGGUGAGGAAAUGGAUUCCGCUCUGGGAGCGCCUCGCGGCCUAUCAGCUUGUUGGUGGGGUAACGGCCCACCAAGGCGUCGACGGGUAGCUGGUCUGAGAGGAUGAUCAGCCACACUGGGACUGAGACACGGCCCAGACUCCUACGGGAGGCAGCAGUGGGGAAUCUUGCGCAAUGGGCGAAAGCCUGACGCAGCAACGCCGCGUGCGGGACGACGGCCCUCGGGUUGUAAACCGCUUUCAGCAGGAACGAUGAUGACGGUACCUGCAGAAGAAGCUCCGGCCAACUACGUGCCAGCAGCCGCGGUAAUACGUAGGGAGCAAGCGUUGUCCGGAUUUAUUGGGCGUAAAGAGCUCGUAGGCGGUUCGGUAAGUCGGGUGUGAAAACUCUGGGCUCAACCCGGAGAGGCCACUCGAUACUGCUGUGACUUGAGUCUGGUAGGGGAGCACGGAAUUCCUGGUGUAGCGGUGAAAUGCACAGAUAUCAGGAGGAACACCGGUGGCGAAGGCGGUGCUCUGGGCCAGUACUGACGCUGAGGAGCGAAAGCGUGGGGAGCGAACAGGAUUAGAUACCCU